UUGAGCAGUUGCUGGGGCUGCUGGGAGCUGCGGUCUGUCAGUUAUAUAAUGAGCACUGUAGUGUGAUGCACAAUGUCAGAUAUACUGUAAUACUUCACAUUGUGGGGUAUUACGUAUAUAUCCCUUUUGGAAGCAUGAAACGAACAUCUCUAGUGACAUGUGGCUAUCUGGAUUCUGGUCAUCUCUUCUUGCACUCACAUACAGUGAGUUGCUGAGCCCAGCGACUGUGGUUGCUAGGUAACCGUAUGAUUUUAUCAGACCCCACUGCUCUGCAUGAGCUUCCCGAAAGUCCUGCCUCCGACCACCGAACUUGAUUGUUUGAGAACUGAGCAAUAUUCACACUUGUCUGGAAAUUCUGGAAUACUACCAAAUUUUGGGAAAAGUAGGACCAACCUUCCAGAUCCCUCUUUUCUGCCAUGUGAAGCUGGCAUUGUGAUAUAUGAGGCAUGAGGAUGUAGUGGGUGGGGUCUGAUGAUGCAAAUUGCAUCUAUCAUCAUCCCCACGGCACAUGCCUCUUGAACUUUCUCUCCAAUGAGUAAGGCAAUAUCACACUUAAGGAGGGUGGUCUGUAUGUGGUCAGGUAAAAACAAAAGAACACUGUAUGUAACAAUGGCUUCCGGCCAUUAAAAUAAAAAAAAAUGCAGAAAAAUGUUGGUUAUACACACUAAAUAAAAAGGGUGUAUAUGGAAAGAUGGUGUGAUUUACGUACAUUGAGCAUCUUUCAGUAGUGAAUUUAAAAUAUAUUCUGUUAAUUUGCUUUCUCACCUUAAGAUGAACGGGGACAGCUGUGAAGUAAUGAGGAAUAUUUAUUCAAAUUGUGCUGUCUGCCCAAAUGUACUGCAACUGAUAGCAGCCAAUCAGAUCCAACCAGACCCUUUUUAAAAAUGACAUUUAGAAAAUGAGCGCAAAAGUCUGAUGAGUUACAGCACAUUCGUGCUUAUUGAACCAUGAUAUUAAAUAAGUCAUUCUGUGAUAUUUGCAAAUCAUAGAAUACAUGUGAUACUAAUAGAUUAAUUUUUAGAUAUGAAGAACACUACGCAAUCUAAACAACCCAAAAUACAGAUUAUUUAUUUUACUUUGUGUUAACAGAUCUUAUACAAGUGUUUUGUAAGUAAGGGUAUUUUUUUAUUAGCUAUCUUAUGCUUGAAAUAUUUUAUAUAUAUAUAUAAAUAUAUUGGAACAAAGAACAAGACCGCGCAAUGAGAAAUAGAGUCUUUUGUAUUCAAUAUAAGUCCGAAAUGUAUGUUGCUGCAAUCCUCCUCCAGGAGCUACCGUACUCCUCAAGUCAUGUAAAAGAGAAAAUAUAUAUUAAUAUAUGUGUGUAUACUGCAUAUAUGAAACUUUCUUUAAUUUGCACGUAACUUAUCUGAAAAUCUGUGUUUCAUAAGCAGUUUAAUUUGUAGCAAAAUGGAGUUUCUUUAAAUAAAUAUAUUUUGUGAACAUUAAAGGGCCCUACACACUUGGCGAUAUCUUUGAAAGAUAUGAAAGAUAUCUUUAAAAAAUUAACGAUAAAUCUUCCACAUCUUUCAGUGUGUAUGCACAACGAUGAACAAUGUACGUCCCCGCAAUCAUUCAUUGUUGAUCGAUUAUCAUUUAAACAUGC